rnacentral:rRNA from 1 species
CACCUGGAAACAGAUGCUAAUACCGGAUAACAACAGAUGAUGCCUAUCAACUGUUUAAAAGAUGGUUCUGCUAUCACUCUUGGAUGGGACCUGCGGUGCGAUUAGCUAGUUGGUAGGGGUAAACGGGCCUACCAAGGCGAUGAUGCAUAGCCGAGUUGAGAGACUGAUCGGCCACAUUGGGACUGAGACACGGCCCAAACUCCUACGGGAGGCAGCAGUAGGGAAUCUUCCACAAUGGACGCAAGUCUGAUGGAGCAAACGCCGCGUGAGUGAAGAAGGGUUUCGGCUCGUAAAGCUCUGUUGUUGGUGAAGAAGGACAGGGGGUAGUAACUGACCUUUGUUUGACGGUAAUCAAUUAGAAAGUCACGGCUAACUACGUGCCAGCAGCCGCGGUAAAAU